rnacentral:rRNA from 1 species
GACGAACGCUGGCGGCGUGCUUAACACAUGCAAGUCGAACGGAAAGGCCCUGCUUUUGUGGGGUGCUCGAGUGGCGAACGGGUGAGUAACACGUGAGUAACCUGCCCUUGACUUUGGGAUAACUUCAGGAAACUGGGGCUAAUACCGGAUAGGAGCUCCUGCUGCAUGGUGGGGGUUGGAAAGUUUCGGCGGUUGGGGAUGGACUCGCGGCUUAUCAGCUUGUUGGUGGGGUAGUGGCUUACCAAGGCUUUGACGGGUAGCCGGCCUAAGAGGGUGACCGGCCACAUUGGGACUGAGAUACGGCCCAGACUCCUACGGGAGGCAGCAGUGGGGAAUAUUGCACAAUGGGCGGAAGCCUGAUGCAGCAACGCCGCGUGCGGGAUGACGGCCUUCGGGUUGUAAACCGCUUUCGCCUGCGACGAAGCGUGAGUGACGGUAAUGGGUAAAGAAGCACCGGCUAACUACGUG